rnacentral:lncRNA from 1 species
AUAAAAUACUUUAUUUUUUCAACUUUGUGCACAAAACAUCCAUUGAAUUAUUCAAAUGAAAAAAAUCUUCCAUCACUGACAGCCGAAGAUAUUAACAUUUUAUAUUCAUGCUCUGAGGUCAUGACCCCAGCUGGCCAGGGGAAGUGAUGGUUGGCUUGUUUAGCUGUCCAGGUGCUCUGCCAGAGUUCCCGGAUCAUGUUCACGCAAUACUUUUGCCUAGUGCGCACUGAGCACUAGCGCGCAGACAUAGUAAUCCCAGUAAGAAAAACGGCAGCAACCACAAAAUGGCGCAUGCAAACGUGAGUAGAUUACGUUGAAAACAAAGGUUGGCCAUCUUGGAGGCAGUCUCUAGUUCUUAUUAUACCUCAGUGGGCCAGACCUGUUGUGUGGCACUGAAAUGAAGAGGUCAGGUUGUUGUUUGUACAUGUUUUGAAGAAAUGAAAGAUCACAGGAAAAAGAUAUCUAGGGAUGAUUCAAAUAUCAAGGAGAUGAAUCAUAGGCAGUCUGCUUGCGGUGACUCAGAUUUGACACUGUCAACAUUUGAAUGAUAGAUUAUGCAAGUGUUUACUUGCAGGGUACCUUGGGCACUGGUUUCUCGGUCACAUUGUAGUGGCAUGGUGAAAGGUCAAUUUCCUGGACAAACUCUCGGGUUAUAAUUUCAAAUAAAACUGUGUUAUUAGAAGAUAAAUUACUGCUGAUAACACCCCCUUUGCCUCACCUCCCUAGCUCCUCUCCCCCCACGCCCCCUCCUUUUGUCCCCCUCCUCUUGACAUUCUCUCCCCACCUUGUCGCGGACUGCCCAGGGUGAGUUGUUUGGCCGGGGGCAGUUCAUAAAGGAGUAGGAGGCCUGACGUUGGAGGACCUCCUGGUUAAAUAAAUGUAAAGUAAAAGCCGUAGGCUCCCAGUAGCAGCAGGUCCCCCUUCUGCAUCUACAUCUGGGCGACUCUCCAGGCAUGGGCGUUUCCUGGGGGAAUGGCGAUGAAAGAAAAAGGAGAUAUACAAAUGUUUAAAUAUUGUAGAAAAAAAAUGUUAUAACUCCCGCACACGAUUUCCCGCAUAUACAGGAAACAGAGAUUGAAAAGGCAUUUUUGGACAGCAUCACCUUUAACUGCACUGGAUAGAGAGUUUUAUGUCAUAUCUUAAAGGUACUACUUGUAACAAUUCAACAACAAACCGUCUCUUGUUGUCAAAUUGACUGGGGCCAGUAAAUAUCUUGUUUUGUCCGUUGUUGAAUUGACAACAAGAGAUUUGCUGGCCCCAGUCAAUUUGACAACAAGAGCUGGUCCGACUUGUUGACCAAUUAGAAGGCUCCACCAUUAGAAUGCAAUUUUGUGUGGGCCUCAAUCAUUUUUGGGGGGGAAAAAAUAUUGUGAAACACUAUCAUUCCACUAUUACUGUAGAUAUACAGUAUUAAGGACAUUUUCGGGAAAUGACGGUGUGAAGAUGUGUUACUGAAACCUACUGCCAGUUGUCUUCCCCUCACUGAAAACACCUACUUUCAAGGUACCCAUCCACCAGCCGCCCCUGUCACACCUCUCCUUUUUCAUUGCCC